UACGUAGGGUCCGAGCGUUGUCCGGAAUUAUUGGGCGUAAAGGGCCCGUAGGCGGUUCGUCACGUCGGGAGUGAAAACUCGGGGCUUAACCCCGAGCCUGCUUCCGAUACGGGCAGACUAGAGGUAGGCAGGGGAGAGCGGAACUCCUGGUGUAGCGGUGGAAUGCGCAGAUAUCAGGAAGAACACCGGUGGCGAAGGCGGCUCUCUGGGCCUUACCUGACGCUGAGGAGCGAAAGCGUGGGUAGCGAACAGG
rnacentral:rRNA from 1 species